UCAAUUUUAUUGGCUCACAUGACUGGCUGGUUCUGGAGAUGAUCUGCUGUUGACUUCUCUUUCCAAUAAGCUCUAGAUCAACAUUUAGAUUUCUCUAUGCUGGAUUUGGCUGGUUAGUAACUGUGAGUAAAGCCAUUCUAAAAAAAUCCAGCAGGACUAGAAAUCUAGAAACAUUAGACUCCAUAUCUUGUGGUAGAGUUGUGAGGCACAAGGUCAAAGAACAAUUUCCUUCAGCACUCAAGAACUGAAUGAGGUCAGUUUCAGCCCAUACAUAGUAUGCCUUUCGUGAGUUUCCCCAUGCUCCAGAGAGUAAAGAGGGAUGAAUUCUUUGAACAAGCUGGAAAGUACAUUUUAGGUGCUGUGAUUGCUGCAUGCAUUUUUUGGGGCUUGAUGUAUGCUUUACUCAUGUGGUUCUAUAGAUGGAAGUGUGAAAAAGAAAAGAAAAAGAAGGAUGGAAGCUGCGGGAGCUGAGUAACAGUUUAUGGUUUCCUCAAAAAAACCCAAACAACCAACAACUUUUUCCUUGAAUUAUGAUGAGCCAAAGCCAGUAAUUUAGUUACACUGUGAAUAAACAGUGCAAAUCUAGUGCUAGUUGAGUGUGGCAGUGUUGCCAUCCCAGUUUGCUCCCUCUUGCAGGGGCUAGAUCUGUGCUCACGUUCUCCACCAACUUGUGGCAGGGCUGGUCUCUGCAGCACCCCCCUCAUGGCCCACCAUGCCAUUGUUCACCCUGCCUCAGUUUUCCCCACAUGGGAGACAUUACUGCAUAGGAGAGUUUAUCAGCACCACUCAACAAGGUACAGGUAACAAACUUGGACAAUAGUACCAAGAACAACACAAACAAAAGGGGUUUCUGCUCCUUCUGGAUUCAGCUGUCGGUUCUUUCCCACUCUCUUACAGAACACUGACUCUCAGGGCUUUUCCCCUGUAGUGGUCUCCCUUCUUCCAGGGCCAGUCACAGGAGUGAGUAAGCAAGCAAGCAAGCUUUCCUCUGUCCUCCUCCAGGCUACCUGCCUGGCAGUUACCCUUCUCAAGGGCCUACAAGAAGAGCUAACCAACCUUCUGCAGCAUCUCCACCUCCUGAGUUCAUAGCAAUUUGUAGCUAUCCCCUGACCCCUUCCUAAUUGGGUCUAAUGAUUAAACAGGGCCAUCUGAUCCCUAGCUGAUCAGGAUCAACUGGAAAGGUAGCUGAUCUAUCAUCGGUGGGGCGGGGCCCAACUCCCAUUAAAGGGCCAGCCAGCCUGUAACACAGAUGUUCAGAACUUUAGUUUGGGUAGACCUCAACCCAUCCCUACUCCUGUGCUUUUAGGCCAACUCCUUCUCUCCACCAGUGCACAGCAGCCAGCCACGUAUUCAGGAGAAGUAUAGAGAGAUCUUCAAUCAUAUGUAUGAAAGCUAUGUUCAGUGACACUGAGAAGUGUGGUCCACUGAGGAAAGUCAAUAGAUGGAAGAGACAGA